GUGGUGAAAACUGACCCUAGCACAGUGAAGACAUGGUGGAAAUGUUUUAGCUAAAGACUUUAGAGAGAAAGCCCUCGUUCAACCACUUUCAGGAGCGUGUCAAAUAAGCAGAUGCCAGCCAAAUGUUGCUCUUGACAAGUGCAAGUCAUUUCUGGGUCACAUUCGGGCCAUUUGUGGGAAAGAGAGAACACACACAUACUCAAAUUUGCUUAACCAUCUGCUCCUGGUGCCUGUCGUGGUGUAACAUUACCUCGAGCAAACUUUCCUGGAAAGGACAGCAAUGGAGUCUACAUUAAUUUGGUCCAUUUGAUUUUACUAGUGGUGUUUACUUGAGUUAAUGUAUAAAUAACUUAAUGCACUUUUUAUUUGACUUGAGUAAAAGUAAAAAAAAAAGUACCUGUUUAAUGUACUUACAUAAUUACAUUAUCUACAGAUUAAAAGACCAUGGUUUAUGCAUUGAUUUAAUAAAUUAUGGCUUGUAAUUUCAUAUGAACCUAUAUUGCACAAAAUAUCUAUUUUGGGAAUAAAGUCCUAGAGACAGAUUUGGGAUAUUGCUGUAAGUUUGAGCUCAUGCUGACAUUAUUAUAAAUUAUUGUUAAUCGUCAGCUAGUUUUCCAGCAUUCCCAGCAGGCACAGUAUGUCAAUAUAAAGGCAGGUUGAUGUUGGACAUGACGUCGGAAGUUGCAUUUAUGUUGAGAAUAAUGUUCUCAGCUCUAAACCAAAAGCUCUAAAAUACUGCCUUCGGAGGCAGCAUUCCAAGGCGGGAGGGAGGGCAUCAAGCUAUAUCCAAAUCCAAAAAGUUCUGCUUUACUUUCUGUGUCCGGAGGUACCUUCUUCUGAUUGAAUUUUGAAGGUAGCAUAGAUGUACCCUUUCCUGCCUUUGAUAUCCCACAAUCAUGUGUUCCAUUGAUGGUUUAGCCAAAAAAUAAUAAUAUAAUAAAGUUGGAGACUGAAAGUUGUGUUUGGUGGCCAGUUUGUGUGUAAAUGUAUAUUUCUGGCUAACUUUUUGUCACUUUUGGUGUUACAGUACAUCUAGGGAGAGAUCAGUAUUGUAAUAAUUAAAUAUUAAUUUAGUUUUCACCAAAACUCGUGCCUCAGAACACUGUCAGAAAUCAAUUUCACCUGCAAAGUCAUUGCCUGAUAAAGCAGCGAGGCAGCAAGUCAGCUGCUUUUCCGAUGCAGCCUGAAAAUGGAGUUGACGUCAGUAUGUAAUGUGAAUUUAACAUUGACUUUACGUUGGAUUUUGAUUAUACAACCUAAAAGCAACAUAUCAAAGUCACCUGACGUCUGUAUUUGACAUAAAAUUUACAUUGACAUUAGACGUCGAGUAGACAUUGAAAUUUGGUUACUUGACUUCGCAACUAAGAUUAUGACGUUGUUUCUCUGCUGGGUUCAAACAGUUCACACAAUGAGCUAAACCUCGUGCACUUUUUCCAGCCGAUUUAGUUCUCAAAUAGCAAUGGCUCCAUACAGCACACUCGAGGAUCAAAUUACUUCUUGUUCGUGGCUCAUUUUUGAGUUCAGUGCAUUUUGAAAAAAUGAUUCAACGGCUUCAUCGUUCAUCUAAAGGAAUAAGCUUAAACAAAUGAUUCGUUAUCGAUUGUCAAUCUCUUUAGCCUGAAAUAGUGAACAGUUAUUUUUUUGUAUAACAUGUUAUAACAAGUAAAUCAGGCAGCACUGAUUUCUGUGUUAGCAGGUUAAUCAAUUUUAUCGGCCAUGGAAGGUCCCAAGCUCUGCCGUCUUUGCCCCGGUCAUUAGCCAUACUGAUUUGUGCAGCACGUUAAAAGUUGUUAAAGAUAGUCUCUAUUGACAUCUCUGCACAUCCCUUUCACAGAAUAAUCUCAAAGGGAGCGUCCAUUCAUCUUCAGCCUGGUACUUGUCCUCGAACUAAAAGGGGUAGCAAUAUUUCUGCCAGCGUCUAGCAGGGUGAAACUGUGUUAAGUUUUUUUAUCCGGCUGUAUCUGAUAAGGAGAGUCCAAGUAUAGGACUGUAUAAAUCACACAAUUAGAACUUUUCUGUCAUUCAUAACGUCAGAGAACAUUGUGUUCUCUUUAAUUAUGUUUAAUAAUGAUCUAUGGCCUGUAGGACAGUGACUCAUAAUUUAAUCACACAGAAACUAAAAAUUAUGUUUCUAAUAACUGUAUUUAUUACAGAUGAAG
ensembl:lncRNA